rnacentral:lncRNA from 1 species
AAAAGAAAUAUAACAAAAAGAGAAUUUUUUACUAGAAAAAUUACAUCCAAUGUAUUUCGGUUCUUCCCACGAUCAGACUACCAUAUUUAUCCUGAUCAUAUUGAAAUUUCGUAGAUAUUUAGAAUAUUCAUUGUUCUUUAUUUUGAAUGGUGGACGUCGAUUUUCGACGGUUGAAUUUCCAGUAUUUUCACUUCGAAGUUACUGUUCACAUUGUUUUCUCUACACCGACCAAUUUGACUUUCUUCGAUGAUCGAAUGGUCAUUUGUAGUCUGAUGAGGUUGAAAUUCGGUGAGCAUGUUUUAGAUAAGUUGGUCUUUGAUGUGAGCAAUGGAGGUUGGAUUUAAACAAUCAAAACGCAUCUGUUUUACAUGAACAGUAGCUGAUUUGGUGAUAUUUCUCAAUUUCCUUGUUUAUCUCUUAUUGUUUGAUUGAUUUGUUAUU